rnacentral:sRNA from 1 species
CCAGCCUAGCCCGACGGGGCGAAAAGCGGACACCUACCCGCCUGGCUGGUUGAUUUU